rnacentral:rRNA from 1 species
CCUACGGGAGGCAGCAGUGGGGAAUUUUGGACAAUGGGGGAAACCCUGAUCCAGCCAUUCCGCGUGAGUGAAGAAGGCCUUCGGGUUGUAAAGCUCUUUCGGCAGGAACGAAACGGCGGACUCUAACAUAGUCUGUCAAUGACGGUACCUGAAGAAGAAGCACCGGCUAACUACGUGCCAGCAGCCGCGGUAAUACGUAGGGUGCGAGCGUUAAUCGGAAUUACUGGGCGUAAGGCGUGCGCAGGCGGUUUUGUAAGAAAGGGGUAAAAUCCCCGGGCUUAACCGGGGAACUGCGCUUGUGACUGCAAGGCUAGAGGGCGGCAGAGGGGGGUAAAAUUCCACGGGUAGCAGUAAAAUGCG